CUUCCUAUUUCCUCAGAAUAAAAGACAACUGUGUUGGAAGAUUGCCAAGGUUUGUAGCUGUGCCACCGCAGACUUCAGAGAUGAACACUGCCUUGGAGACAGGGAGGAUUCAAGUUGCAGAAGCACUUAGCUUGUGACCUGGGGAUGCUGGUGCCCUGUAUAUGCUUGGCUUGUCUCAGGCAAGGUCUGAGAAGCAGUUCUUUUAAGCAGGCUCUUCAGCACACCUGUUUCCUUUCUUGUGGGUGACAGCUGUGCAGUAAUCCUGAGGUGCCAGGGAUCUGCCCUAAGAUGAAGUGGGCUACAGUGAAGAUGAGGAAGGGAGUCAGAGGUCAUCACCUGGCCCCAUGGUUGUGAAGGGAAGGAGAGAGACAAUGCCUUAGUGAUUUCUCGAUUUCUAUGUAGUCACAGAAUAGGAAUUUGUGACUUUGGGGUCAUAAGUAGCCGCCACUUGCUAGCCCCAACCUCUGUACCUAAUCCUUGAGACCCGAGCUCUUCAGCUUACCUCGUGUGUUU